rnacentral:lncRNA from 1 species
CCACUCCCCACACCCUCACCUAGAGGCUUGUGGUCCUGGCGGAUGUGGGAAGCCUGACCACCCGUGAAGACUGAGGCAAAGCACUCAUUGAGUACCUCAGCUUUUUCUAUGUCUGAGGAAGCCAGCUCCCCAUUGCCUUUCAUCAGAGGGGGAGCACUCUCCUUGGCCUGUCUCCUCCUGCCUAUGUACCUGUAGAACCCCUUCUUGUUAUCUUUCACAUCCCUUGACAAGUUCAGCUCCAUCUGCUCCUUGGCUUUCAUAAUCCUAUCUCUACACACACGGACAACAGCCCUGUAUUCCUCCCAGGAUACACAACCCUGCUUCCACCUUCUGUACAGUUCCCCCUUUUCUCACAGUUUAAGCUGCAGGUCCUUACACAGCCAUGACCGUCACCUGCCUCCCCUGCUUGACUUCUGCUGGGGGAUGGAGAGCCAUUGUGCUCUCAGAAGGGUGUCCUUCAAGAGCUGCCAGCUCUGUUCUGUACCCAUGCCCUUAAGGACCGUUUCCCAGCGGAUCCCAUCCAGCAGUUCCUUGAGCAGCCGGAAGUUUGCUCUCCUAAAGCACAGGGUCCUAGCUCUGCUUUUUGCCAGGCCCGCAUUCUUCACGAUCACAAAUUCUACCAAGGCCUGGUCACUGCAGCCCAGGCUGCCUCCAAUCUUAACCUCUCUAAUGCUCUCCUCUUCAUUAAUGAGCACCCAGUCCAGUAAGGCUUCACCUCGGGUUGGUCCAUCUAUUACCCGGACCAGGAAGCUGUCCUCAACAGACUCCAGGAAUCUCCCGGAUUGUCUGCCACCCGCCAUGCCACUAUCCCAGCAGAUAUCUGGGUGGUUGAAAUCCCCCAUCAGGACAAGAGCCCGAAAGCGCGACACCUCCUGCAGCUGAAGCAAGAAGGCCUUGUCCACAGCCUCCUCCUGAUCUGAUGGCCUGUAGCAGACCCCAGCCACUAGAUGCCCUUUGCUGGACCGAUCCUUGAUUUUCACCCACAAGCUCUUGACCUGAUAGUGACUGUUCCUCAGACACAGUUCUUCACAAUCUAUCCACUUCCUAACAUAGAGAGCAACUCCGGUCACCCCUCAUACCCUGUCUAUCCCUUCUGAAAAGCCUGUAGUCCUCAAUCAGGAGAUUCCAACUGUGGGAUUCAUCCCACCAUGUUUCCAUGAUAGCAAUUAGAUCAUACUUUCCCAAUUGCACCAUGGCUUCUAGCUCCUCCUGUUUAUUUCCCAUGCUGUGUACAUUGGUAUAGAGGCACUUCAGCUUGGCUAUUGGCCUCAUUGCCUUAUCAGAGGAGCCCUCCCUAAUACCUCCAGGGCAAGACUGGGGUUUUCCCUUACCACCUCCCAAGGUGAAAGCAUUCCUGUGGUCUUCUCUGUCACCCAGUACAUCCCCUUCCCCCACCAUCUCUAGUUUAAAGCCCUGCUAACCAGCCCAGCCAACUUGUUCCCAAGAAUAUUUGUAGCCCUUCUAGGCAGUCAGCUCCCAUUCGCUGUCAGCAUUCCCCCUUUCUCAAGGCUGCGUCCCAAGCCUGGUUACAGGUCAGCCUCAUAGUCUUGGUCUGUCUGCCUUGACUGGUGGGAGUGUAAAUCAUCAGGUUUGUGUGUCAAGCCUUUGCUCUCAAUUAAUUGCUGCCAUUGGAACGGCACCUAUUAAAGCAUGACCUGUCCAUAAAGCGUGUCAUCAGCACUGCCUGAUGCCUCAUCCUAAGCUGCCUUGUUAUGGGGUCACAUACCAAAUGUGCCAGCACCAUCUGCUGGGACUCCUGGAUAACACUGCUGUUAGAAACUCUGCUUUUGGUUGGUGCCUUUGUGUGAUGUGAAAUUCCCUACCAACCUCUGAAAUACAGCUUUCUCCUAAGCCCUACGCUCCUGUCUGCUAAGCUGUGCAUUCUUAUCACUGCAGAAUGUGGUUCUUGUUUGCUUUUGCAGGUGUUUGUAACUGUUGGUGAAUAACGCUCUGAAGGCAUCACAGACUGCCUGCUUGUCUCUGCAGUGCUCGGGGCUUUUCUGAGCUGCAGGCUCGCUGUCGCCCUGUGGCAUAGCCUUGCAUCUGGUGACGGACUGAAGCUGGAGAAUCCUGGCAGCAGAGGACGCUCCUGCCCCACAGAAGGGCUCACAGCUCCACCGCAGCUCCACCGACCUCAGUGCUGGUGAGGAGGCUGAGAUGCCUCCAAGUGAUGAAUGCAGUGCACCCAACCUUACACCUCGUGUGGUUCACUGUGCGAGGCGACCAGGAAGAAAGGUGGGCACAGGUAAUACUGCAUCAAAAGCAACUGCAGAGCUCUCGGGCUGGUAGUCCAGGGUGUGGGGGCCCAGGUGGUGCUGUGGGACAGGUGUGAAAGGAGGGCACUGGUGGUGCGUGCCAGUCCUUGGCUGCAGGACUGGUGCUGGUGGCAGGGCCUUGGGUUCUGUGUCUGCAGGACCUCUUUGCAGAUUGGUGUCUGCUUGGAAGGGAUGGGACCCACCUACCUAAGAGAGGUGAGGAUAUUUUCAUCAGUAGGAUGGCAGCUUCACAAGGGAGGCUUUAACCUAAGAAUGGUGAGGGCUUUUGAUCACAGGGAUGGGGUGAUGUGAGGGAGAGGGACCAGAAAAUCAGCACUUGCAGGGUUGCAAGGAAAUGCCUGAAGGCACUGCUAUGGGGAGAUCCCCCAAAGCUCCAGAGGAGGUUGUGGUGGGUAACGGGGGGAGGCUGCUUGGAUUUGUGCAGAGGGAGAGCUGGAGAGAGAAAUAGAUAGACAGAGGGAUCAACAGAGGAGAGAACUGUUAGAUGGAUGGAUGGAUGGAUGGAUGGAUGGAUGGAUGGAUGGAUGGAUGGAUGGAUGGAAAAACGGAUUGAAGGAUCAUUGGAUUGUUGGAUGAAAGGGUGGAUGUAAAUACAGGUGGGUGGAGAGAUCAACAGGAAAAUAUGAUUUCUGCCUCAAAGACCAGUGUGCCCCCAGGCCCCACUCCCUCCAUGGGAACCAGUGGCGGUGGCCCUGCGGGUACAGAACCCACGUCCCAUUGGCUGGAGCCACUCUCUUGGCUGCUACAGAACCCAGAACCUUUGGAGGAGGCUCAGUUCCAUGGCUCUGGCAUGGGGAGUGCUGGAUCCCUGGAUCCUCUGUCCAUUUGGGAUGGGGUGAUGGGGUCUGUGGUGCAGGAUGGAUCUUGGGUAUGGUGGUCUGUUGCCCCCUUUUAGUGGGAUGUGGGGUGAGAGAAGUCCUUGCCGUAUGAGUCCCUUUCUUACAGGAGGGAUUGGGCUCUAUGGAGUAGAAUGGGUCAGUGAGGUCCGUUGCCCACCUAUCAGGUUUACGGGGUCCAGUGGGGCAGGGAGGGGUCCCAAACCCCUCAGUUGGAUGCCCUGUUUAAGGUGGGAAGGAGGAUAAUGAGGUAAAGUGGGGCAGAGGGAGGGCCCCCUCCUUGCCCCUCCCCUUCAUUGCUGUGAUGUCAGUGGGGUAACAGCAGUUCUCAGGGUAACUGUCCCAACCCCAAACCAUCCUAGACUUCUCUCUGAUCAGCUGUGAAGAUGGUGCCUUGUGGCCUUGUUCCCAUCUGGGAUGGAUCGUUCUACAAUGCUGUGUGUCCCAUUGGGCCAAAAGUACUGGUUUGGUGCUGAAAUCCAACUCCAUUCCUCACCAGCUGUAUUCCCAAGGAAUCCUCCUUCCCCAUCCUCCCCAAGCUCCCAACUUCUAUCUCCAACUGAUGUGCAGGAAUCAAACUCUAUAACCACAGAGUAGUUAUAAAGCAGGUAUGUUUAAUCAGCGCUGCACACACGCUGGAUGCAGAGGGGGUAUUCCCACCUAGCCUGCAUACUGGAGGGCAAGCAAGGCACAUACUUAAAGAACAAGCUGCUUACAUAUGCAUUAGGAUAAGGAUAGGAUAAGGGGGAAUAUGUGGAGUCAUUCAUGCAUCUACUUACAAGUUGGGUCAUCCCAUUAUGUGCUCCAAAUACAAGGUUGAAUUUUGGUCCUAAAAUAAUAGUGCCGUUAGCAGCAGCUUCCUCACCUUCCCCUAAGCAAAUGGGCUCCCUCUGACCGCUUUUAUAUUUGUGCUGAGCAGGUCAAUUUAGUGACGGGACCCCAAAGCAUGGUACGUCCAUCCCUGCCUGUGGUAGUCAUGUGCAGAUCCAGCAAUCAGAGAAGUUUGAAGUCUUAGCACAGUUACUAAUUACACUGUAAAAGGAGCUCUCUUCCCAGGCCAGAACACCUCCCGCGUACAUUGAGAUAAAGCAAAUUAGUAACCAGCUCAUCUUGUCUUGAUGAGUUUAACUUUUGACGGUGCACUUUCCUUGGCAGACCCCGGCAUCUUGGAAUAACCUCCUGCAACAAUACUUACCUCACAUGCCUUAUUAGUCCUACAAGGGAAUGCCUCCAGCCACCCUAAAAAGCUAUCAGGACCAACAUACAGCAGUAUACCCCCCCCCGCCUUUUCUUGGGAGUUCUGAGAAAUCAAUUUGCCAUUGUUGCCCUGGCAGGUUCCCUUUCCCAGUAGGCCCACUUGUACCCUGUUCCUGGUACUAGGAUUGUACUUGGUAGUCUCUGUUCCCGCAGUAUGUUUUCUUAUCUUCCCUUAGAACCAAUUUCCAUACAAUACUAACGGGCACAACAAUGUGUCCAUCUGGGCGUGAACCCAUCUGUCAGCUUGCUCUCUUCCCUUCUAAACCACUAAUUAGAUUCCUAUCCUCCGUAGGAUAUUUUACAGGUUCUGACUCAGGUUCAGAGAUUUUAAGUUUACCGUCUGGAAUUAAAGCCUUCUUCAACUGCCUGUUCUGCCACCUGAUCCGCCAUCUUAUCUCCAGUUUCCUGUACAGUGCUACCUUUCUGGUGUCCUUUACAGAGUAUAAUAGCCAUGCUCUUUGGUAGAUGUACAUCAUACUGAAUGUUUUCCUUGUGUGUGAGCAAUCCUUGCUCUUUCCAGAGGGCACUAUGAGCGUGUUCCACCCCAAAAGCAUGUUUAGCAUCUGACCAUGUAUUUAAGGCUCUUGUCAAGGCAGUUAUUGCAGCCUUCUGAGCCAAGUCCCCACAGGCAAUGGUUGUUCGAUUACCUGGUCAGUAGCAGUUACUGCAUAUCCUGCCUUACGGUUGCCUCGUCUCACAACACUGCUUCUGUCGGAUGAACCCAGGAAUCCUCAGCACUGUCCAAUGGUUCCUCCUGUAGGUCUGGCCGACUGGCACAGUCAGUCUCCAAGCAGUCGCACGCUGCCGGUUUGGAGGUAGUUCUGUGUUGGUGUUAGAAUCAUGGAAUGGCCUGGGUUGAGAAGGACCUCAAAGAUCGUCCAGUUCCAACCCCCUGCUAUGUGCAGGGUCACCAACUGACGGACCAGGCUGCCCAGAGCCUUGUCUUGAAUAAGAUUGUUUUUAGGCGAACAAAAACUUUGGAUCACCUUUCAAAUAC